UACGUAGGGUGCGAGCGUUAAUCGGAAUUACUGGGCGUAAAGCGUGCGCAGGCGGCUUUGCAAGACAGAUGUGAAAUCCCGGGGCUUAACCUGGGAACUGCAUUUGUGACUGCAAGGCUAGAGUGCGGCAGAGGGGGAUGGAAUUCCGCGUGUAGCAGUGAAAUGCGUAGAUAUGCGGAGGAACACCGAUGGCGAAGGCAAUCCCCUGGGCCUGCACUGACGCUCAUGCACGAAAGCGUGGGGAGCAAACAGG
rnacentral:rRNA from 1 species